GACGGAGGGGGCUAGCGUUGUUCGGAAUGACUGGGCGUAAAGGGCGCGUAGGCGGCUUAUCAAGUCAGGUGUGAAAGCCUUGGGCUUAACCCAAGAAUUGCGCUUGAUACUGAUAAGCUAGAGGAUGAUAGAGGAAAGCGGAAUUCCUAGUGUAGAGGUGAAAUUCGUAGAUAUUAGGAAGAACACCAGAGGCGAAGGCGGCUUUCUGGCUCAUAUCUGACGCUGAGGCGCGAAAGCGUGGGGAGCAAACAGG
rnacentral:rRNA from 1 species